rnacentral:ncRNA from 1 species
CCUUUGGAGAGUACAAGAACUUGUUAGUAGUAUUCAGUAAUGAUAUGAAAGCAUACUCGUUGAAAAAGGAA